rnacentral:rRNA from 1 species
ACGCACGCUGGCGGCGUGCUUAACACAUGCAAGUCGAACGGAAAGGCCCUGCUUUUGUGGGGUGCUCGAGUGGCGAACGGGUGAGUAACACGUGAGUAACCUGCCCUUGACUUUGGGAUAACUUCAGGAAACUGGGGCUAAUACCGGAUAGGAGCUCCUGCUGCAUGGUGGGGGUUGGAAAGUUUCGGCGGUUGGGGAUGGACUCUCGGCUUAUCAGCUUGUUGGUGGGGUAGUGGCUUACCAAGGCUUUGACGGGUAGCCGGCCUGAGAGGGUGACCGGCCACAUUGGGACUGAGAUACGGCCCAGACUCCUACGGGAGGCAGCAGUGGGGAAUAUUGCACAAUGGGCGGAAGCCUGAUGCAGCAACGCCGCGUGCGGGAUGACGGCCUUCGGGUUGUAAACCGCUUUCGCCUGUGACGAAGCGUGAGUGACGGUAAUGGGUAAAGAAGCACCGGCUAACUACGUG